AGAGUUUGAUCCUGGCUCAGGACGAACGCUGGCGGCGUGCUUAACACAUGCAAGUCGAACGGAAAGGCCCUUCGGGUCUAGUGGCGCACGGGUGCGUAACGCGUGGGAACCUGCCUUUAGGUUCGGAAUAACUCAGAGAAAUUUGAGCUAAUACCGGAUAAUGUCUUCGGACCAAAGAUUUAUCGCCUUUAGAUGGGCCCGCGUUGGAUUAGCUAGUUGGUGGGGUAAAGGCCUACCAAGGCGACGAUCCAUAGCUGGUCUGAGAGGAUGAUCAGCCACACUGGGACUGAGACACGGCCCAGACUCCUACGGGAGGCAGCAGUGGGGAAUAUUGCACAAUGGGCGCAAGCCUGAUGCAGCGACGCCGCGUGAGGGAUGACGGCCUUCGGGUUGUAAACCUCUUUCAAUAGGGACGAAGCGCAAGUGACGGUACCUAUAGAAGAAGCACCGGCCAACUACGUGCCAGCAGCCGCGGUAAUACGUAGGGUGCGAGCGUUGUCCGGAAUUACUGGGCGUAAAGAGCUCGUAGGUGGUUUGUCGCGUUGUUCGUGAAAACUCACAGCUUAACUGUGGGCGUGCGGGCGAUACGGGCAGACUAGAGUACUGCAGGGGAGACUGGAAUUCCUGGUGUAGCGGUGGAAUGCGCAGAUAUCAGGAGGAACACCGGUGGCGAAGGCGGGUCUCUGGGCAGUAACUGACGCUGAGGAGCGAAAGCGUGGGGAGCGAACAGGAUUAGAUACCCCGGUAGUCCAA
rnacentral:rRNA from 1 species